rnacentral:rRNA from 1 species
AGUGGUUACUGUUUGGCUGAACACUUUACCGACCUUGUCCUAUGGUGCUCUUCACCGAGUGUCAUAGGCGAUCGGUACGUUUACUUUGAAAAAAUUAGAGUGCUCAAAGCAGGCGUCAGUGCCCGAAUAAUGUUGCAUGGAAUAAUGGAAUAGGACCUCGGUUCUAUUUUGUUGGUCUUCGGAGCAUGAGGUAAUGAUCAAUAGGGACAGACGGGGCCAUUCGUAUUGCGGAGCUAGAGGUGAAAUUCUUGGACCUUCGCAAGACGAACUAAAGCGAAAGCAUUUGGCAAGAAUGUUUUCAUUAAUCAAGAACGAAAGUUAGAGGUUCGAAGGCGAUCAGAUACCGCCCUAGUUCUAACCAUAAACGAUGCCGACCAGUAAUUCGUCUGAGUUCUCUAAAUGACUCGACGAGGGACUUCCGGGAAACCAAAGUCUUUCGGUUCCAGGGGAAGUAUGGUUGCAAAGCUGAAACUUAAAGAAAUUGACGGAAGGGCACCACCAGGAGUGGAGCCUGCGGCUUAAUUUGACUCAACACGGGAAAACUCACCCGGCCCGGACACUGGAAGGAUUGACAGAUUGAGAGCUCUUUCUUGAUUCAGUGGGUGGUGGUGCAUGGCCGUUCUUAGUUGGUGGAGUGAUUUGUCUGGUUAAUUCCGAUAACGAACGAGACUCUAGCCUACUAAAUAGAUUGUCGACUUACUAACGUCGACAACACUUCUUAGAGGGACAGGCGG